rnacentral:tRNA from 1 species
UGGGAUAUCGUCCAACGGCAGGACCCCGGGUUUUGGUCCCGGUUACGGGGGUUCGAAUCCCUCUAUCCCAGCCA